rnacentral:rRNA from 1 species
UAGGGAAUAUUGGUCAAUGGGCGAGAGCCUGAACCAGCCAUGCCGCGUGCAGGAAGACGGCCUUCUGGGUUGUAAACUGCUUUUCUACGGGAAUAAAAAGGUUCUGCGGGACAAAUUGCAUGUACCGUAGGAAUAAGCACCGGCUAACUCCGUGCCAGCAGCCGCGGUAAUACGGAGGGUGCAAGCGUUGUCCGGAUUUAUUGGGUUUAAAGGGUGCGUAGGCGGAUAAUUAAGUCAGGGGUGAAAGGCAUUGGCUCAACCAAUGAAUUGCCUUUGAUACUGGUUAUCUUGAGUUCAGUUGAGGUGGGCGGAAUUUAUGGUGUAGCGGUGAAAUGCAUAGAUACCAUAAAGAACACCGAUAGCGUAGGCAGCUCACUAAGCUGAAACUGACGCUGAGGCACGAAAGCAUGGGGAGCGAACA